ACACAUUAAGCUGAAAGUCAAUGAAUGCUGCUGCAGAUGUUAGUAAAUCUGACCCUAAAUGUUCCUUUUUCUUUAACAUUCAAACGUUGUAAUGAAGGGAUAUUUUAACAAGCUGUUCUCGUUUAUAUGACUUCCAUAAAACAACAGGGUUAGAACACAUUGUGACGAAGUAAGAUGUUUGUUUUGUAGUCCAUCUUCAGCACAAUGUAGUUUCAACAGGCGGACAUCCGGUGUCACAUUGUUACAGAGAGACGAGUGUAAGGCUGUUCCAAUUCUCAGCACCGCUCCUCUCUUUCCCUGAGUCCUUAGUGUAACAUAUGUGUUAAAUACUUGUGAAUUUCACCCAAAACACUUUCUUUUUUUGGAUUAAAUAUGUCAUUUUUGCAUCUCACUCUCCUACCUGUGUGAUCUGAGUCUGUGUGUGUUCAUGUGCGUGUGUGCGCUGCGUGGUGACGUAGGCGCGUGCAUGUGUGCCCCGGUCACAGCUCCUUUCAGCAUGGCCGGAGGAGAGGUGUACUGGCAGUCGCGUGACACACACAGAUCGAACACAUAUUUCUGUGUUGCAGAUGUGCAGUAAAGAGCCAAAGACCCAGUACUGUCUCCUGCCUCUUACUUUCACGCCAGAACACAACGCAGAACAGCAGGCGUAACACAUGAACGGGUUACAUUAGCAAUUCUCCUUCCCACGAUGACGUUUUCUUCGAGGCCAAGGAAAAGAGUUUGGGAAAAGGAGAUAGGCCCUAAUUUUGAAAUUUUAAAUAACACCCACUGGGUUACGUUGUCCAGCUGAGUCACGUGGCCGCACAGCAACAAAUCACAGCAGAGCCGGAAAAGGAGGCGGAGCAAAGUGUGUGUGCAGGAGAGGAGUCGAGCAGAGAGAGCUGCUUUUUCCAUGAAACGGGAGUAAAGUAGUAAACGUACAGGAACAUAUACCACUACCAACGUUGGGAUUAAUAUCUGCAUCGAUCUCCACACCCUUGUCUCCUGGAUCGUAGCUCAGAUCAGCGUGAACCACGUAGGUCUCUGCUCCCUAAUCUGUUUCUUAAGACUUCCAGCUUCAUCACGGAGUUUCUCUCGGUUUUUGGGCUCAUCUAAAGGUAAGCACCGAGCUAAAUUUAAUGUGGGUUCAGUUUAUGUUGAGUUUAGCUCUGUUGAGAAAUAAUAGA